CUCAGGAUUGAUCGGAUUAGAUCAGGCAGAUCGAUAGAUAUAGAAUCGUGCGAGUAUAAUAGAAUUGAAAAAAGAUGUAAAAACCAUUACACAACAAGGCAGGAUAAAAAGAUAAUUACGAUGAAUGAAGAUAAUAAUAUUGAGCAAAAUCAAUUUGCUAAUGAAGCCUGCGCAAAUAGAUUUUGAGCAGAGCCUGCCUGUCGAAUGCAUAUUCUGCCACCAAUCUGCUCACAUUGCUUGUCAGCAAAACUUUGUUGAUAGAAUACAAGUGUAAUGCACAGAUCAAAAACUCUAAAUAUCAGUGGACAAUGCAAACUACAAAAUUUUUAAUAGAAAAUGUUAGAAACCAUAUGGUAUCAUUAAAUAAUAAAAAUUGUAUGCAUAAAACAAUAUGGAGAAGAAUAGCAAAUAAUUUUAAGAAAAAAGAUUACAAUGUAACCGAGGAACAAUGUUACACUAAAUGGGAAAAUUUGAA